AGAGUUUGAUCCUGGCUCAGAAUGAACGCUGGCGGCGUGCUUAACACAUGCAAGUCGAACGAGAAAGUGGGCUUCGGUCCAUGAGUAGAGUGGCGCACGGGUGAGUAACACGUGGGUAAUCUACCCUUCAAUUUGGGAUAACAUUGCGAAAGUGAUGCUAAUACCGAAUGACAUCAUGAAUACAUAGGUAUUUAAGAUCAAAGGUGGCCAAUCCUUGGAAGCUACUGUUGAGGGAUGAGCCCGCGUACCAUUAGCUAGUUGGUAGGGUAAAGGCCUACCAAGGCGACGAUGGUUAGCUGGUCUGAGAGGAUGAUCAGCCACACUGGAACUGACACACGGUCCAGACUCCUACGGGAGGCAGCAGUGAGGAAUUUUGCGCAAUGGGGGCAACCCUGACGCAGCAACGCCGCGUGAGUGAUGAAGGCCUUCGGGUUGUAAACCUCUUUUAGCAGGGAAGAAGCGUAAGUGACGGUACCUGCAGAAAAAGCACCGGCUAACUACGUGCCAGCAGCCGCGGUAAUAA
rnacentral:rRNA from 1 species